AUGAGAAGCACACAAUUAAGUGAGAGCUUGAAUAGUGACUUGAAAGACCAUCUAAACUCUGAUCUUGACAUCCUUCGGUUUUUCAAGCACGUAGAGAGGUACCUUCCAGGCCACUAUAUUUUGAAGCGAUGGACUCGAGAAGCGCGAAGCGGCACUAUACAAAACAGCCAUGGAAACAUUGUUUUGGAAGAUCCUAGAUCAGAAGAUAGACAACAGUUGAAGUUUUUCAUGCACGAGUUCCUUGGCAUAGCUUCACAGAGAAAGCUCGUACUACUACGUGCAGAACUGAAGAUAUAUCUAAAGAACCAGACGAUUGUUUAA
rnacentral:rRNA from 1 species